AACGAACGCUGGCGGCAUGCCUAACACAUGCAAGUCGAGCGGAUGAUUCGAGCUUGCUCGUGCACUCAGCGGUGGCCGGGUGGGUAAUGCCCAUGAAUUUGGCUUGACUUGGGGGAUAAGGUCCUGAUACGGGCGCUUAUACUCCAUCCGACCAUUGGUCGAAUGUGGGUGAGCCUGCGAUGUCUUGCCUUCAUGUGAGGCUAGGUGGGUAUAGCUAGUUGGAGGGGUAACGGCUUACCAAGGCGACGAUGCUUAACUGGUCUGAGAGGAUGAUCAGGCACACGGGAACUGAGACACGGCCCAGACUCCGACGGGAAGAAGCAGUGGGGAAUAUUGGACGAUGGGGGAAAGGCUGAUCCUGCAAUGCCGCCUGUGUGAAGAAGGUCUUCGGAUUGUAAAGCACUUUAGGUUGGGAGGAAGGGCAGUAAGUUAAUACCUGGCUGUAUUGACGGUACCGGCAGAAUAAGCACCGGCUAACUUCGUG
rnacentral:rRNA from 1 species